rnacentral:tmRNA from 1 species
GGGGCUGUUCGGUUUUGACGGCAGAUGUUCGUUUAAGUAAGCAUGUCGAGUAUUGUACAAAUUGACUCGUUAAUCCUAAAGUACAUAACUUUUUAAUUGGCGAGAGAUCUUUCGCUUUAGCAGCUUAAUACAAGGUAUUAACACGCUAAUGCUCCCACGUUUGAUUUUCUUGUUGUCAGCGUUUGGAGUAUCAUUAAUAACAAGAUAGUUUGCUGAUGUUUCUAAAGCAAAUGAAAUUAUAGAAACUACGGUUUAAUUUGGUAAGUAUAAACACCUAAUUAUUCCCGACAAUUAAGUUUGUACUACACAUGUAGAAAGCUUAUGGGUGCUUUGUCCGGACGUGAGUUCGAUUCUCACCAGCUCCACUU